UGAGACCUCUUGAUGGCCGCGGUGUUGCCGGAUUUCCGCGUAGCGGUUACCGGCAUCACUGAGGAACUUCCGGGCUCCACAGAGCACGAUGGCGGAUAACGUCCGCCCAGGGCGACCUGAGAGAUAGCGCAGCAGAGAACAGACCGCCUGCAGUGCGAUGGCGACAUCCCAUUGCAGGUAAGGGUGAAACGGCGGUGUAAGAGACCACCGGGCCGCUGGUAACAGUAGGCCGCACGGCAAGCCUCAUCGGGAGCAAGGCCAAGCAGAAGGCGUUAAGGGCUGCUCGCCCGUGCCUUCGGGUAGGCUGCUAGAGCUUGCUGGCAACAGCAAGUCGAGAUGGAUGGUCAUCCGUUCGCAAGAACGACAGAACCCGGGGUAGAAGAGGUCUCACUCA
rnacentral:RNase_P_RNA from 1 species